GGAGAUGACGUUGCGUGGACCAGAGGGGACGCUGGUGCAGGCAGCUGUCGGUGGGUCCAGGUCAGCCCGAAAGUAGCCAUUGCGGCAGGCGCAGAGCGGUGAGGCCUCAGCGCUGGAGCGGCUGUUGGGGGGACACGGGGCACACAGCCCCGCACCCUGACUGGCUUUGAAUGUCCCAGCCGGGCAGGCUUUGCAAGCCACGUUGUUUUCCGGCUCAUAACCAGCCUUGCAGGUGCAGCGACCUAUGGGUACCAUCCACUCCCCAUCCCCGUUGCAGUACAGCUUGAUGGGCA
rnacentral:lncRNA from 1 species